GGCGCUUCACAUCCACCUAGAGGAGCCUGUUCUAGAACCGAUAACCCCCGUUCAACCUCACCUUUUCUUGUUUGUCCCGCCUAUAUACCGCCGUCGUCAGCCCACCCUAUGAAGGCCCAGUAGUGAGCAAAAUUGGUAUUACCCAAAACGUCAGGCCGAGGUGUAGCGUAUGAGAAGGGAAGAAAUGGGCUACAAUUACUAAAAUAGUUAAAACGAAUUGUCCAAUGCUGAAAGUGCAUACAUGAAGGAGGAUUUAGAAGUAAGGGGAUAAGCAGAGUGUUCCCCUGAAAUGGCUCUGAAGCGAGUACACACCGCCCGUCACUCUCCCCGAAUCAGGUAUACCCUCCGUUUAACUAAACAUCCAAACCCUACAAAGGGGAGGCAAGUCGUAACAUGGUAAGUGUACCGGAAGGUGCACUUGGAAAAACCC
rnacentral:rRNA from 1 species